rnacentral:rRNA from 1 species
UACAUGGGGGUGCAAACGUUGCUCGGAAUUAUUGGGCGUAAAGCGCGCGUAGGCGGUUACUUAAGUCGGAUGUGAAAGCCCUCGGCUUAACUGAGGAAGUGCACCCGAAACUGAGUAGCUAGAGUACGAAAGAGGGUCGCGGAAUUCCCGGUGUAGAGGUGAAAUUCGUAGAUAUCGGGAGGAACACCGGUGGCGAAGGCGGCGACCUGGGUCGAGACUGACGCUGAGGCGCGAAAGCGUGGGGAGCAAACAGGG